GCCUCACGGGCACUUCACCAUCUCUAAAACAGUGUUGCAGAGUCCAGUCCUGUGCAGGUCUUGUUUAGGCAUCCACAGCUGCUAUGCAUUUGUGCUCACAAUGACCUUGUUGGAUUCUGGUAGCAGUAAAGGAAAGGAAAUUUCAAGACAGAGCAAUAGUAUGGACAAUGGUCAUAGACAGAUGUUGCUCAAGGUCAUGAAGUCAACUUUGUAAUCUGUGUGGCGGAUGCUUCUUGUACAGGAUGCAGUAGAAUCAGAGGACCUGUGCAGCCAUUUAGUUGACAGUCGAUGGAGACAAGGAAUUAGAGAAGCUUGUGAAUUGGAAGAAGAGUCUCAAGAAGAACUCUUGAGCAAGAGUGAUCAUCACCAGGACAUGCUAAUUAUCAGGAGUCAGUUGUCAAUCUUACUCUUCGCUGAGUUCUCAUCACGUUUAUUACUGCUACCCUUGCUCACCACACUGAGUUCUUACCUGAGAUGAUACAACUGUGUGUAAACCAAGUAGGACUCGUCCUGUUUCUACUGAUAAGUGCGUUCAAAAUAGCUCUCAGAAAUGUCACCCUAAGAUGAUUUUGUCAGGGCUCUUGUAACUCUUUGUCUGUCCCCAGUGUUUUCACAGAAACAUGGUAACUUACUAAAUAUAUUAUUGAGCAAUUAGAACUAAAAGAAAGAAAGUAAAAAGAAAGAAAGAGGAAGAAGAUGAAGGAGGAGGAGAUGAAGAAGAA